UACAGAGGGGGCAAGCGUUGUUCGGAAUUACUGGGCGUAAAGGGCGCGUAGGCGGCCUGCUAAGUCAUACGUGAAAUCCCUCGGCUCAACCGGGGAACUGCGUGUGAUACUGGCGGGCUUGAAUUCGGGAGAGGGAGGCGGAAUUCCAGGUGUAGCGGUGAAAUGCGUAGAUAUCUGGAGGAACACCGGUGGCGAAGGCGGCAUCCUGGACCGAGAUUGACGCUGAGGCGCGAAAGCCAGGGGAGCAAACGGG
rnacentral:rRNA from 1 species